rnacentral:rRNA from 1 species
UACAGAGGUCCCGAGCGUUGUUCGGAUUCAUUGGGCGUAAAGGGUGCGUAGGCGGUCUGCUAAGUUUGGUGUGAAAUCCCGGGCUUAACCUGGGAACUGCAUUUGUGACUGCACGGCUAGAGUGUGUCAGAGGGGGUAGAAUUCCACGUGUGAGCAGUGAAAUGCGUAGAUAUGUGGAGGAAUACCGAUGGCGAAGGCAGCCCCUGGGAUAACACUGACGCUCAUGCACGAAAGCGUGGGAGCAAACAG